GACAUCACAAUUCCUAAUUCUAGUUCUUUCAGUCCUAGUAUAUUGACCAAUUUAGAGUUAUAUCAUAUUAAGAAGGUCAGAAUUAGACUAUCAGAAGAACCUUAAAAUUUGAAACAUUUGAGGUCGAACUAGUAGACAUUCUCACACAGUCUAAUGUAUCAUUGUAGUAUCUGCCAAGUGUUGAGUGCUAUUUGGAGAUUCACCUUUUGAUUCUUGUCAGAGAUAUAUAGAAUUGGCGAAUAGACAUGUCCGCGUUUAAAGCUUUGUAUAUAUUUAAGGAGUGAGUGUUAGAGCUACGUAGAUUUCGUGUUAGAUUACUCGAUCUAGUACUUAUGAGUGAGUUAAGACGUCAACAUUAUAUGUUGAUAAUUUUAUAAAGUAGGAUAAGACUUCUGAUCGAC
rnacentral:lncRNA from 1 species